GGCGUCGUACCCCAACGGCAGAGGGAACCGGUUCAGGACCGGUCCAGUGUGCGUUCGAAUCGCACCGACGCUA
rfam:Streptacidiphilus jiangxiensis strain CGMCC 4.1857 genome assembly, contig: Ga0104467_127